rnacentral:lncRNA from 1 species
GGGCCGGAAAGUUUGCGCAGCGAGAGGGACUCUCCUUCCGUGUCUCUCCCGCGCUGCCCCCUUCUGCCCCGGAGGGGCGUUAGAGUCCCCUCGGGUUUUCCUUUCAAAUUCUAAAAUAAAAAAAUAAUAUAUGCCCAGGCCCUGGGGAAAUUGGAAUAGUAAUUCAUUCAAUAAAUGAAAUUAUAUGAGAGGUUUUGGGAAAACCCCAAGCCAACCGCAUGUGCCCUCCGAUCAAGUAGGGCAAGAGAGUGAGAAGGCGACAGAAGAGGUCCCCGGCUCGCCCUGGGCACACGGGCGAGGACUCUGGUCAGAGGUAAUUAUGUCACUGCGUUUUCUCGCUGUGACAGCCGAAUAAACACAAUCUCCAAUAAACAUCUCUAAUGAGGGAGGAGGCCCGAGGAUGGCUGGGUUUGAUUUAUGACUGGAGGAGAAGGUCCACUUCCCACUGAGAAGCGGGCAACCUGCUCACCGCCCAGACCCGGAGAAAGGAAUCCGCGGAGGAGAGGACCCAGGCCCAGGAUAUGAUCCAGGAUUCCAUGUUGCAUCAGAUCUGCUGAUUUUUUAGACUCAAAGCCUUGGAGGGCUGAGCUGAACACACCUCCGCUGGAAAAUUAUCUGGAGCCAGCAUUUAUUGGGUGCUUAGGGUUUGCCAUCCUCACCACACUGCGGGGGAUCGGGAUGUCAGCUCUCUCACCUAAGGACCCGUUCGAGCGUGGAGGAGAAUGUGAAGACGAGCCGAGGCUGCCCUAAAAUAAUCAUAAAGAAGGAGAGACGCGCCCCCGGUGUAUUGGCACGUGUUUCACAAGUUGCGCUUAGCAAAUACAAGUCCUUGUGAGCGCUGCCUUUUAUGUGGCAGUAAACCAUCUCUGAUGGUGUCGAGCGCAGAGGCUCACGCCAGCUAACCCAGCCUGCCUCGGAGGGCCCUCCCCAGGGGCUCGCGCCUUCCCACGGCAGAGGGAGGGCACAUCAGAUCGAGGCGGGUGCCCAAGGGAGGUCGUGAUGUGUUUUGUCUGCUCGACCCUGGCAGUGGUGCGCCUAUGUUCCUCUGCUUGAGCCAAUCCUCAAGACAUUUGGCAGAGGAGGAAACUGCGGCCUUGAGGAAAGAACCGCCGGAAGAAGAUCAGUGCUGGGAUAUUUGCUCCUCAUCCUCUGUUCUUCUGACGCCACCUCGUGCCCUCUCUUUGCCUGGUUGUCACUUCCUGGUGCCCUCACUUCUACCCGUGUGACCUAGAUUGAACCUCAAUCCAAGAGCUAUUCAAGCAGCCAAGGAGAGAAGGAUAACGUGGGGCAGAAGCAUGGUUCCACAGAACACAGGGCCGGCGCACCGGGCACAUCCUGCACAGAUUCAAGGAAGCAGAAAGCCACCGGGACUUGCACAUCGAGAGAAGCCUUCAGGGAGAGAAGUGAGGGAGCUCCCAGGUUACUUCCUGUUCAAAAGCCACUGAAGUGGACGCAAAAGGCAAGGAGAGCCCGAGGCCUUGGCAUCUCCGCCGGCCCAACCUGCAAAGGAAUCCAGCACCCACUGCCCGUGAGGUCUUUGAAGGAAGACGGUGUGGGGCCUGGCGGUCUCCGCAGGAGGGGAGCAGGGAGGGAGGGAGGAGGGCUAUGUCUGGACCGGUCUCUCUCCGCCACCCACAGAAGGCUCCUCCUUCAUUUGGAAGCCUCCUAACCUGAGCACAAAUGAGACCCCCUGGGAUCCCAAAAUAGCUCCCCUCACAGCUGCACAGCAUCCAUUUAUAGCACAGCAUCUCUGCAGCCUCAGGCUGCUCCUGGGACGGCCCUUCUGAGCUCAGCAUCUGCGAACACCAGGCUCCAUGUCAUUUAAAAGCAGAAAUACUCAUAAAGGACCUAUUAUGGCCUUGUCACUGUUUUCCAGAACUUGCCUCAACCCUCAGAGACCUCAAAGGGCCAAAUUUGUUUUGACCCAGAGCCAGACCAUGUUUUGUCCAACAAUAACCCAGAGGCCGGUCGGGUCCCUUCCUCUGGGCUCGGCAGCAGUUGAGAAUGUUCUACUUGGUGGCAGCAGGACAAACAGUACCAAACUGAUGCUUGGGCCUUAGACCAAGUCACUCGGACAGCCCCAGGGCAGAACCACCAUUAGGCUCUAUGUCUAUACUGUCCACUUACUAGCAAGGAAAGUAACUGAGGCCUCUUAUUGACAUUAUCCACUCAUGUUAUCGGUGCUAACUCUGAAUGUCAAAUUAUAGAGCAAAGAAACACCCCCGGCCCCAUCGAGGUAGGUUCUGUACUUCCUUCUCAUAUGAACUUUAACCCACUUUUUCACAUGCGACUUAUGUAGAGACAGACUGAAACCGUCCAUUGAUAAUCAAGUGUAUGUUGCUUUUUCACCCCCGACUCUGAGCGGAGCUGAGAGAUCAGAAGUGACCCUGGCUGGCCGCUUGCAGUUUGCUCAGCCUCCUUCUGCUUUCUGUGACAGCCACUGGCACUUGUCUUCCUGAGACAAACAUUUUUUUGUUCAAGCAGAUUCAGGCCGCCUCUGGAAUCGGUCCAGAGCAGUUUUCUGAAGGUGGGGGGAGGGGGCUUCCUUUCCAAAGUUGCUGAGUGGGAGCAAGUCUCUGCUGAUGAGCCUUUCCGGGGGUGGGGGGGGAGUGGGGGGGAAGGCCUGGAGGGAGUUCAUAAGAGCCGGGCCACUGACAGGACAUAUCUGCCCUGUUAAGGCGACCGAGGCCCUAGCGCAGGGUAGCAACAUUCAUCCAGGGGUAAGAAACCUGUGUGAUCAUGUCCCCUCCCCACCUCCCCGACCUAUUAAAGAGAGUUCUUUCUAGAGCAGUCUUAGAUUCACAGCAAAAUUGAGCAGAAAGUACAGAGAAUUCCCUUAUCCUCCCUGCCCCCCCACCUCACUAUCAAAUCCCCACCGUGGCACAUUUGUUAUAAUUGAUGAAUUUACAUGGACACAUCAUUAUCAACCAAAGUCCAUGGUUUACCAUAGGGUUCCGUCUUGGUGUUGUACAUUCUAUGAGUUGUACAUUCUACGAGUUUGCUUGUUGUUUCCUGGUCUUUUCAAGUAGGAGUAAGCAUAAAAUACAUCAUCAUGAGUUCAUACUGAUACAUCGUUUCCAAUUCAAGACUACAGGGUUGUGAUAUUGUGAUUUAUACACUUGGUCUUCUGUGCCUCUUUCUGGCACAGAACUCCUAACACCCUUGCAAUUUGCUCAUGAUGGGAGUGGUAAAGGGGAAAAUUAAUCAGUUAAUUUUGCAAAAUAUUAUUACAUCACUUUUAUUGCUCAAAAACAUUCCUUUUUUUUUAUCGAGACACGUUAUGAACUAGUCCACAUAUUGGUAUAUGAACCCAGGGUUUCCUUAAAAUAUUUUAAGAUGGGAAUAUGUAUUUAUUUGCAUGUGUAUGUGUCAGGAUUGCUCUGAAGAAAGACCCCAGUACAGGCCAACAGCGGACAUCAUGGCUAUUAUUACUGGAGUCAGUCACAAGAGAGAAAUGGAUUUCUUCCCAAGACUUCCUUGGUUACUGCACUGAUGAAGGCACAAGUCGAAAGACUUACGUUUUAGUAAUUUUUUUGGUUGCUAUUGACUUCUCUCUUGUUCCCCUCUGGUGUCAUCAAAUUUGAGCCAAUUCUGAGCCAGACGCAUAAAGGGAAUCCCGGCUGUUGGUGAACGCUGAGGAAGAGGCAAAGGCAUAAAUAUAGGGAGUGGGUGCCUGAGUGCUAAGUGAUGGAGAUUGAAGGGGAAAUUACCCCUCUUCUUCUGCUUUACAAAUUCACAAACAUCUAGUCCACCACGAAGUCUAUAACAGCCAUUUGAUAAACACAAAAUUCAAUUAAACUGAUUCAGAAAUGGCUCUAGCCUGGACAUUUAAACCAAUAGCCAAUUGCUGCAGAGAAAAUGCUGGAGCAGAUGGAUGUUUCUCUAGAUCUUAUCUGCCUUGGGUUUUCAGGUGAAUUCAUCCCAGAAAUGAGGGGUUGUGGAACUUGGUACCUGGGAUUUCAUGGAGUCCUUGGGAAGUUCAAGUCACCCCAAAAUGCUUACUUCUUGAGUCAUCUCCUUUUGCCUUCUUACAUCAUCUAAUUUAAAAUGUAUACUUUUGUUAAGGGUAGGGUUCAAGUUUAUUAAUCAUUAAUCAUCUUAUUGUAAUUAUGUCAGUGCAAAUGUAAUAGGUAGAUCAACAUUGACAUAUUAUUUCCAUUAAUAUACAUUACUUGUAGUUUUCUAUUUAGUCACUAACCGUGGCUCAUUCACCUUUUUAGGCUGAAUCAUCAGAUGUGAAGAGCCAUCCAGGGCAUUUCUGAGUUCUGAUUGGUUGCACUAGCUCGAAAUCUGAUUAGUCCAAAAUUUGGCCCCAAAAGUCUCAGCAAAAGUCUUGUCCCGUGUGUGUUUGAAAUUUUACAGAGUGAUUCAUAGCUGUUAUUUGUUCUAAGCAAAUAUCUGACAAGUUUCUGAUCCAUUGAUUUUGCAGAGGAAAUGUUUCCAAGUGCCAUUGCCUUUCCCUAAAAGCCAGCUUAAAGCCCACACAUGUUUAUAUUGCGUGUUAUGUUCAAAGAGCAUUUAGGUAAGUGGAGUGGGAUAUAGAACCACCUACGGUUCUGUCUUAUCUUGCUGGACUGGGAGGAUGUUUCCUGUGACCUCUCAAGGCACGUGAACACACAAUGCGCUAGGCAGCCCUCCGGUUUUCCUCCUGCAACAUCGGCAUUGGACAGCCUGGUGGAACAGAGGUGGUCUGGGAGGCACAAGGCCUGGGUAUUGGUUUUGAUUGUCCUACUGAAGAGUCGUAGCCCCUUAGCAAAGUGCCUUAACCAUUUGAUUCUCACUUCUUUUCUCUAUAAACGGGAAAAGGAAUACCUGUCUACCACAUCUUAGCACGUUGUGGUUGGAGCCAAAUGAGAACUUGGGCAAAUAAGAAGGCUUUGGUAGGGAGUUCCCUUCCUGGCUCAGUGGUUAACGAACCCAACUAGGAUCUACAAGGAUAUGGGUCGAUCCCUGGCCUUGCUCAGCGGGUUAAGGAUACAGCAUUGUCAUGAGCUGUGGUGAAGGUCACAGAUGUGGCUUCGAUCCCAAGCUGCUGAGGCUGUGGCUGUGGCCUAGGCCGGCGGCUGCAGCUCCGAUUCGACCCCUAGCCUGGGAACCUCCAUAUGCCAUGGGUGCAGCCCUAAAAAGCAAAACAAAAAAAAAAGUUAAAAAAAAAAA